rnacentral:rRNA from 1 species
GUGUCAGCCGCCGCGGUAAGACGAACCGUGCGAACGUUGUUCGGAAUCACUGGGCUUAAAGGGCGCGUAGGCGGCCGGGUUGGUCGUGGGUGAAAUCCCCCAGCUUAACUGGGGAAGGGCCUACGAUACUGCCUGGCUCGAGGGAGGAAGGGGCGGUCGGAACUGUCGGUGGAGCGGUGAAAUGCGUUGAUAUCGACAGGAACGCCGGUGGCGAAAGCGGACCGCUGGCCCUCUUCUGACGCUGAGGCGCGAAAGCCAGGGGAGCGAACGGGAUUAGAUACCCCUGUAGUCC